CCUACGGGAGGCAGCAGUAGGGAAUAUUGCUCAAUGGGGGAAACCCUGAAGCAGCAACGCCGCGUGGAGGAUGAAGGUUUUCGGAUUGUAAACUCCUUUUGUUAGAGAAGAUAAUGACGGUAUCUAACGAAUAAGCACCGGCUAACUCCGUGCCAGCAGCCGCGGUAAUACGGAGGGUGCAAGCGUUACUCGGAAUCACUGGGCGUAAAGAGCGCGUAGGCGGGAUAGCAGGUCAGAUGUGAAAUCCUAUGGCUUAACCAUAGAACUGCAUUUGAAACUGUUAUUCUAGAGUAUGGGAGAGGUAGGUGGAAUUCUUGGUGUAGCGGUGAAAUGCGUAGAGAUCAAGAGGAAUACUCAUUGCGAAGGCGACCUGCUAGAACAUAACUGACGCUGAUGCGCGAAAGCGUGGGGAGCAAACAGGAUUAGAUACCCUAGUAGUC
rnacentral:rRNA from 1 species